AUACGAAAGGUGCAAGCGUUGUUCGGAUUUACUGGGCGUAAAGAGAGUGUAGGUGGUUUAUUAAGCCGGAUGUGAAAUCCCGGGGCUCAACCUCGGAACUGCAUUCGAUACUGAUAGGCUAGAGUUUGGGAGGGGUAAGCGGAAUUCCGUGUGUAGCAGUGAAAUGCGUAGAUAUACGGAGGAACACCUGAGGCGAAGGCGGCUUACUGGACCAAUACUGACACUGAGACUCGAAAGCGUGGGUAGCAAACAGGAUUAGAUACCCCGGUAGUCC
rnacentral:rRNA from 1 species